rnacentral:tRNA from 1 species
AAGACACUAGUAAAACAGUUAUUACACUGCCUUGUCGAGGCAGAUUUGUGGGUUCAACUCCCACGUGUCUUG